GAAGAAGACUCGUUUCUAGGCGACAGAGGACAUCGUUCCCGUCGGACUGGUGAUGAGUGUCGGCCUCCUGCGAUGUGAUAAUGGAGCAUCUCCACAUGAAACAUAUCCUGCAGACGGUAUCGGUCCUGGAGGCCGUGAUCCUUCGCAGCUUUGGCCCCGAAGGAGGACAGGUGCUGUUCACCCGAGACACGGGACAGGCGAUGUUGAGCCGCAGUGGGACACACAUUCUCACAGCCCUCCAGCUAGAGAAUCCAAUAGCCAGGAUGGUGGUGGAGUGUGUCUGGAAGCACAGCUCUGUCACGGGCGAUGGAUCCAAGACCUUUAUCCUCCUGCUUGCGUCAUUACUACGGAUGAUUCAUACAAUAGCCAACAAGGAGCCUAAUGUGUCUAGCUCUUAUAAUUCCACAGAAGCAGCAGCGAGUGCCGCUGCCAGACACUUGGCUGACAAACUGCUUGCAUUUGCGUUGAAAGACUUGGACGAUCUCAUUGCUGUGGAAGUGGUCCCUUAUGGAUGUUGCAUUUCGUGGGAGGACUUCACUGCAAAAAAACAAACACCAACUCACGCAAACAGUCAUAUUAAAAACCUGCUGGCACCUUUCUUUCAUACACGUCUUGGUUUCGCGCACUGCGACUUUAUCAGUGACCUCACGUGUCAACUGCUAAAUAACUGGAAAUUUAAAAAUGAGUCGCCUUCAUUCUGUCUUCAGUUUUUAGAUGACAAUUUCCCUGCACUGCAUACGACUGUAUCAGGCUUCCCCAUUAGCACUUCACGUUUGAUUGAGGGGCAGGUAAUUCAUCGGGACUUUGCUACGCCAUGCCUGCGGAUUGACCGCCAGCCAAUUAAAGCUGUGGUCUUCACGGGGUCCCUGCAUCCAAAAUUGUUUAAUACAGGAGAAGUGCUUGGAUUGAUGGACAAAAGAAGUAUAGUGGACUUUAGUGCCUGGUCGGUAAAGGCACUAGAGUGCAUUAUUGAAAAUCUGAAGACUUUGGGUGUGUCUGUACUUGUGUCUACAGUGAAACAGUCUCCUGCUGUCCUGUCCUUAGCCACACAGGCAGAGAUGUGCCUUGUGGAGUGUGUCAGUGAAGAGGAGAUUUCUCUCUUUGCCCAACUAAGUGGGUCCACGCCGGUCUCAGACUGCUUGACGAUUGAACCAAAGCAUGUUGCUACGCUGGCUUUUUGUCGACCUGUACUGCUGGGAGCCCACAGAUACGUCCACGUGGCUUUCCACGAUUCAGAAGACAGGACCACAUUCAAACCCUGUAGUCUUGUAAUCUGUGCCUCAGGUGAAGGGCAGACAGAACAGUAUGUACGAGCGUUUCGAGAUGCCAUUCACGUGCUACUUACAACUUGGGAGCCUAUACAUGUGACUGCAGCAUCAAAAACAACCUUGCAGUCGCACAAAUUCACAUCCUUAGAUAAGUACAACCAGACUGACCGCACCACAUACACACCGCCCAGUAUAUACCCCCCCCAUAAAUGUGUGUAUGAGCCAGGUUGUAUGAUACCUGUAGGUGGGGCAUUUGAGUUUCUCCUAAGCCGUGCCCUCCUCAGUGAUUCAGUUUCUGAUCAUACUGGUGUAGGUAUUCCUGUUUCCCAGCUCUUGGCCAAGGCUCUAUUGAGCGUGCCCCGACAGAUUUACUCCCACAGUCCGCGACAUUUCCUCCAGACUCAGACCAGGGUCAUGAGUUUUACUCAAAAUCAUUCCCGCCCGUUCAGUCUGGUAGAUAAACAAGAACCCAACACAAACCCUGUACAGAAUGAAGGUCCUCCAGGGGGUAGUAAACCAAACUUACAUUGUUGUAGGAAGGGUGACAUGUUAUCAAAAGCUUUCACGUCGGACUUGGGACUCGAAUCCGUCUCCUGUAAAUACCAACUGCUUCUGGCUGUUCUGCAGUGUGUGACCAGUCUCCUGCGGGUGGACGCCAUGCUGCGUACACACACUGUCUUACACUCAAAAUCAUGCAGACUCACAAACAUUUCCUGGAAGGACACAGAGGGCGAAGCUGAGGACUGAGAUUGUGUUUUCUGCUACGAUGAAAGACAGUCAAAUUUGCACCAGGUACCUUUCAAAAGUUGGAGUGAUUAAGUUGCACUGUAAUGCUAUUUUUUUUAUGGUGACUAUUUUUUGUUCAUACAGGUCAAUACAUUUAUAAUUCAAGUCUCUCCUACAGCGAGAGUCAAUGGCCUCCUGUAUCGUGCACAGCUUCACCAAACGCGCACAACAGUGGUGAGUGCAAGCCGGAUGACAAUAACCUCAGAGUCAACUCGGUCGGUUUUCAGUUUAUUUGGUUCUCAUAGUUAAUUUUUGAUUCUGUGAAACACGGUGCAUAUGUUAUAAAUCAACCUAAUCUCUGGAAAAUCAAGAGGGCAUUAUAAAAUACACCAACAAACUGCCUGAACCAUAUAUACACACUAAAAAUCUUACAAAUAAAAAACACAUAUACAAAAUGUGAC